UUCACCUGGACAUCAGCCCGAGAGCCUCUUCUCCUCUUAUCCAAAAAGUAUAAGAGGAGAAGAGGCUUUUGAUUUUGACAAAAAUCAAGGUUCAGUACAUUGUUGGUAUCGUGGAAACAAGAAACAGCAUUAACUUUACAUAGCUGAUGAUCUUUAGGCUGCAUUGUGAAUGAACCGUCUCUUUGCAGGAUGUUUUUUUUUAAUUCUUGUGAAAUGUCAAAAACUAAAUUUUUAUACUGCAUUAAUACAGUACUUUUUCAUUUGAAUCAGAUUCUCAAAGCUAUGAAACUUCUCAGAACUAUGUUGGCUCACAUUCAUUUAUUGUCACACACAAAGGUCAGCAUUUUGCCAUGCAAAUUGCUCAACUGCACACCAGGAGCUACUCUGGGAUUGAGGACAUUGACCAAGGGCCCUUAAGGAUUUUCUGGGCUGGAUCUUAUCAGGGGUCCUCCAGUCUCAAACCCACCACUUAACCACUAGACCAUCCCUUUACAUUCUGGUGCUAAAUAUAUGCACACCCCCACCUCCAAUUCAUGAUGCACUUUUUUCGGCAGCUGUAACGUGCACUCCGGUGUGAGUUCAUCGGACUGUAGUCAUGUUUGUGUUGUGUAUUUAAAAAAACAAAGAUGAAGCAUACACACUGUAACCACUAGUAAUGUUUGAUAUGUGGUCUGUCAGAGUGUUUAAUUUGUGCUUUUAAAACACACAUUACUAACUGAAAGGCAUUUUAUUUUGUCUGUCAACCACCUGAGGCACAUAAACCCUCAAGCAACAGUUCAUAAAGUCAUGGCUUCAUAAACCUGUGAGUAAUGUUCAAAAUAAAAAUUGCCACCUGUGCGCACGCACGCACGCACGCGCGCGCACACACACAAAAAAAGUUUAUGAAACAGAGAACAGAACCCAAGCAAAGCAGCAUUUGAUAAGUUUUAUCUGCUGUAGUCUGUCGGUGCACCAACAAACAAAUCCAUGAGGGAAAAAAACAAAUGUGUCAAUCUGCAGCCUUAGUGAUCCAUGUGGAUUUACAUCACGUGGAACAGAUACACUGUCAAAGGUAAACCAGCCUCCAUAUGGCGCUGCGCGGCACCCACGACUGAAAAACACAUCAGACCAUCGGCUCCUCAUAAAGGUUCAGAGACCUUAAUAAUUUACGAGUCACUAUGAGGUACUUGUCACGUCUGAUUAUUUUAAUGAGCAUCUUUAGUUAUAAUGCGUUUGAUGACAUCUCUUUUACUAGCAGUCAUAUGACAUUAACAUCUACUAAUUUCUGUAACUCUGAAAAGGGGGGAAGGGGCAGAAACCUUGCUGUAUUCAGUGAAUCUCCUUUUCUGGGGCAUGUGAUCAUCUUUUAAUAUGCAAAAUAAGAAAAAAGUCUGACUUGUCUCAUUCCAUUACGGCAUAUUUAUUUAACAGUGAAUAUACUUUUGUCUAUUUGACUCUUUUUACUUCUUAUAGAAGUGUUUUUCUUUUCCUAAUAUGUAUGCACCAAUAACACCAGAUCAAAUUCCUUGUAUGUGCAAAUUUACUUGGCAACAAAUUCAAUUCUCAUUCUUAUCAGCUGGUGAAGCUGGUAACAGCGAUGCCCACAUGGCCACUGGAGGGCACUGUUGCACCCUGGUAAUUGUGAGAUUUAUUGCUUCGUAUUGCCCAGCCCUGCAAACAUCCUGAAACUUAAACGACCUUUAACUCCCCUUCAGUUUUUGCCAUCUUGUGCCCAGUGGAAACUGUGAGUUUUUUUGAGUUUGUA